UACGAAGGGGGCUAGCGUUGCUCGGAAUCAUUGGGCGUAAAGCGUCUGCAGGUGGGCUUUUAAGUCUUUUGUUAAAGCUCUGGGCUUAACCUAGAAUCUGCAAAGGAAACUAUUUGUCUUGAGUAUGGUAGAGGUAAGGGGAAUUUCCAGUGGAGCGGUGAAAUGCUUAGAUAUUGGAAAGAACACCAAGGGCGAAGGCACCUUACUGGGCCAGUACUGACACUGAGAGACGAAAGCUAGGGGAGCAAACGGG
rnacentral:rRNA from 1 species